rnacentral:rRNA from 1 species
UGAACGCGAAAGGAACUUACCAAGGCUUGACAUGGGCCGGACAGGGCUGGAGACAGUCCCUCCCUUCGGGGCCGGUUCACAGGUGGUGCAUGGUUGUCGUCAGCUCGUGUCGUGAGAUGUUGGGUUAAGUCCCGCAACGAGCGCAACCCUCGUUCCAUGUUGCCAGCACGUGAUGGUGGGGACUCAUGGGAGACUGCCGGGGUCAACUCGGAGGAAGGUGGGGACGACGUCAAAUCAUCAUGCCCCUUAUGCCUUGGGCUUCACGCAUGCUACAAUGGCCGGUACAAAGGGUUGCGAUGCUGUGAGGUUGAGCCAAUCCCAGAAAGCCGGUCUCAGUUCGGAUUGGGGUCUGCAACUCGACCCCAUGAAGUCGGAGUCGCAUAGUAAUCGCAGAUCAGCAACGCUGCGGUGAAUACGUUCCCGGGUCUUGUACACACGCA